GGGUCCAACCUCCCACCCGUGUCUAUUGUACCUUGUUGCUUCGGCGGGCCCGCCGUUUUCGAACGGCCGCCGGGGAGGCCUCGCGCCCCCGGGCCCGCGCCCGCCGAAGACCCCAACAUGAACGCUGUUCUGAAAGUAUGCAGUCUGAGUUUGAUUAUCAUAAUCAGUUAAAACUUUCAACAACGGAUCUCUUGGUUCCGGCAUCGAUGAAGAACGCAGCGAAAUGCGAUAAGUAAUGUGAAUUGCAGAAUUCAGUGAAUCAUCGAGUCUUUGAACGCACAUUGCGCCCCCUGGUAUUCCGGGGGGCAUGCCUGUCCGAGCGUCAUUGCUGCCCUCAAGCACGGCUUGUGUGUUGGGCCCCCGUCCCCGGUUCUCCCCGGGGACGGGCCCGAAAGGCAGCGGCGGCACCGCGUCCGAUCCUCGAGCGUAUGGGGCUUUGUCACCCGCUCUGUAGGCCCGGCCGGCGCCAGCCGACACCCCAACUUUAUUUUUCUAAGGUUGACCUCGGAUCAGGUAGGGAUACCCGCUGAACUUAAGCAUAUCUAAA
rnacentral:rRNA from 1 species